rnacentral:rRNA from 1 species
ACGUGGGGAACUGAAACAUCUAAGUACCCAUAGGAGGAGAAAACAACAGUGAUUCCGUGAGUAGUGGCGAGCGAAAGCGGAACAGCCCAAACCGCACAUGUUACGGCAUGUUCGGGGUUAUAGGACCUGCAUAAAGGUUAACAAAGAGACGAGAAUGGCAUGGGAAGGCCAACGAUAGAGGGUGAGAGUCCCGUAUUGGAAUUUUUGUUAACUGGGCGGGUAUCCUGAGUAGGUCGGGACCGGAGAAAUCCCGAUUGAAUUUGCCAGCACCAUCUGGUAAGGCUAAAUACUCCUGAGAGACCGAUAGUGAACUAGUACCGUGAGGGAAAGGUGAAAAGUACUCCGAAUAGGAGGGUGAAAUAGAACCUGAAACCGUGCGCUUACAAGCGGUCGGAGCCCUUUAGUGGGGUGACGGCGUGCCUUUUGCAUAAUGAGCCUACGAGUUACUCCUCUCUGGCAAGGGUAAGGUAUUCAGUACUGUACCCGGAGCGAAAGCGAGUCUGAAAGGGCGAUUGAGUCGGAGGGGGUAGACGCGAAACUUAGUGAUCUACCCAUGGCCAGGUUGAAGGUUGGGUAAAACCAACUGGAGGACCGAACCGAUAAGCGUUGAA